rnacentral:rRNA from 1 species
ACGGGUGAGUAAUGUCUGGGAAACUGCCUGAUGGAGGGGGAGUAACUACUGGAAACGGUAGCUAAUACCGCAUAACGUCGCAAGACCAAGAGGGGGACCUUCGGGCCUCUUGCCAUCAGAUGUGCCCAGAUGGGAUUAGCUAGUAGGUGGGGUAACGGCUCACCUAGGCGACGAUCCCUAGCUGGUCUGAGAGGAUGACCAGCCACACUGGAACUGAGACACGGUCCAGACUCCUACGGGAGGCAGCAUG